UGCCAUGCAUGACUAAAUAUCUGAAUGAGGAAAUUCAGCAUUAUUGUGUCAGAUGAUGGCAUAAUGGUGUGCACUUUUCUUCUAGUAAGACGUUGCGAUCCAUUAGAAAAUUCAACUUAAAUCUGUAUAUAGGCCCGAAUAGGAGUUUAUGCAUUAAGCGAGUAACAUAGCUUUGUUGUUAUGUGAAUGCGUGUAAACUAUUUGGUGUUCUUACAGAUGUCUGAUGGUAUUAUGAAUAAAUGUCGCAUACAAUCUCUAUCGAUUGAUAUCUCUUGUGGAUAUAAUGCGUACAUUAUCAGCAACGUUUUAGAUUUAGGAUACCAUCAGGACCCGUCUUGAAACACGGACCAAGAAGUCUAACUUGUAUGCAAGUCAAUGGGAUUAUUAAAACCUAUAGGCGAAAUGAGAUUAACUUGUUAAUGGGAUUACAAAUGGUAUUAAUUAUACUAUUUUUCCAUCCCCGGGUAUCUUAAUGUAAGUACUGCGGUUUCGGCCGUGUGUACUACAAAGAUAUACCGUGAGCAUACAAGCUGUGACCCGAAAGAUGGUGAACUAUGCCUGAUCAGGUUGAAGUCAGGGGAAACCCUGAUGGAAGACCGUAGCAAUUCUGACGUGCAAAUCGAUUGUCAGAGUUGGGUAUAGGGGCGAAAGACCAAUCGAACCAUCUAGUAGUUUUUUCUCUUUUCGAGAAAA
rnacentral:rRNA from 1 species